GGGGGAGGCGGGGACGGUGAGUGCGCGUUGAGGACUCCGCAAGACAAAGUUGGAGGAGAAUUUUCCAUCUCCCAGAUGGACUGCCCCAAUAUUAUCUUCCUCAAAUGAGGUGCUUCUUUCCACAUUGAUUACGUUUUAAUAAGACAGGAAGAACCAUUUUUCCCCAAAGCUGGCUGUUGCAAUGGGAGUAAGGGAGCAGGUAACAGGAUCCUGGAGCUUAAUGGGAAAGUGUGUACAGGAAUUCUGGUACUGGGAUUUGGGGUUAGACGGGUGGUCCUCAUCAUUUAAUGAGGGAAUUGGCAUCUUGGAUGCUGCAGCAGCAUUUGACAGUUUCAGAAAGUGAGGUUAGUAUUAGUGAUAUAUAACUAAUGGGGGUGCUAGCUUGGGAAUUCUCUGUCUUCUUUCUCUGGUCAGUGAUACUUUGUGUUUUCCUUCUCCUACACCUCUUCCAUUCUCCUGCCUUUUCUAGAAGAUUCUGUUUUCUAUUAUUUUUGUUAUGAUCACUGGUUUACUAUUCCUACAGUAAUAAUAUUCCCAGAGUACCUUUAGAUAAAAGAAGUUCUGGAUUUGUCUUAAACUGCUGCUGCUGUUGUAUUUUUAAAGUGAACUUGCAACUGCAGGCCUGCUUGGGCUUUGCGUAGUUAAGCUGUUUAUAGGUUUUCUAUGGUGACUUUUGAAGUACUGCAUAUUUUGAGCCACAUUGUGCUGUGAGGUUCCUAAAAUCUGUUGUCAGCCUUUAGGAAUUCCACGCACUUGGUGUUCAGAAAUUAUAGAUACCAUGGUGGACAAAGGAAAAACAAGAAAAGGACUUGUAUUACUAAAGGAUAAUGUAGGUUGCUCAGACAAGAAAAGAUCUAAGUUGGAAGAACAUAAUGGCAAGGAGCUUGGUUCACAAGGUUGAGCAGGUGAGUGAGUCUGGAGGAAAUGCCAUAUGAAAAGUUUUUUUCUGUGUUAAAGUUAGGGUGGUAAAAUAUUUUUUAAGAAUGAUUACAUAGAGGUUGAAUUUGAGGGAUUUGAUGCUGUUUCAUAAACCCCCACUAUCUUUGAAUAUGUAACUUUUGAUUACAGCUAAAUACUGAAUUGUUGACUACAGAGAACAUGACUGUUGAACACAGGCAUGAUUCUUGAGUUAUAUAGGGCAUGGCAAGAGCUGUAUAUGCAGAGGAUGACUUAGGAUAUAUUCUUUAAAUACUUGGCUUAGCAAAAUUCUCUAAAAUUUGAUACUUUGGUUUAUUUCACAGACUCAUAUAGAAUGGCAGUUAUAAAACCCCCUCAAAUACGUGUUAUUCGUGUAUUAACCUAAAUGUCCUGUGAAGACUGGACUUUGGUUAUUGUACUUUCUGAAAUCACUGAGUCCUUACAGAGGAGCAAAUUGAAAGGUCUUUGUAUAUUAGAAUGAUUCAUGUGUCCUAAGGGACCUUAGGCAAAUCAAGAAAUAAACUGUAAGAGUGUGGUUUCUAGAGUUAAUUAUGAAAUUUAAUUUACUUUUUUUUCUUUUUUUUCCCAGAAAAGCAGACAUGUACUACAUUUACAAUAUUAAGUAAAAGUUCGCUAUUCUCUCUUGCCUUUUUUUUUUCUUACAGUCAAAACAAAUGAAUGGCCCAUACUAUUAGGAGACUCCUGAAGAGCUCACUCAAAUUCCCCUUCCUCUUUUUACAGGAAAAAGAAACAUGAUUCCCCAAAGUUCCUUAUCUUAGGGUUUUAACAAAGUCAGUUGUGUGUGUUUCCAUUGCAGCCUGUUAUUUCUUCUUUUUAGGCAUUUCAGUGUUAUUUUCUGAGUAAUCAACAAUUAGUUUGAUUGAUAAUGUACACAAAUUACAAUUGUUUCCAUCAGUCUGAAUCAGCAGCUAUUUGUGCAAAUCUAAAUAUGCUGGAUAUGGCUUCAGUCCUCCCAAGUUCAAUGACAAAAGAGGUUAAGGAAGUAAGCUGAAACGCAUGAAGUGUGUGUUAAUGUGGUUGUCAUGAGGUCAGUCACAUUAUGUCAACAAAUCUGCAUGUUUCUGUUCUGGCAAAGUAGAUCUCUUUUGCUUGCUUUAUUUCUAUUUUAUGAUAGAGUAAAAUUAUCAACAGUUGCUGCUUUUUUUUUGCAUGUGUGUGUGUCCCUCUCAAUGCCAUUUUCAAAGGGUGAAGACUCUAGUAUAUUAACAGGAAACACAGUGGAGACCUUACUUUCUUUGUAUUUUCUGACUCUGAUCUUGCAGUGCUGAAACCAAGCCACUGAACAGAAUUUUAACUGCUCUUUUAUUAUAGCCAUGAUUUUUUAAACAUUUUAAUUAUGCAUUAUUGAUUUUUAUAUGUGUGUGUGAAUGUGCAUGUCUGUCUGGUGAUACAGCCAUACCUUAAAAAUACCUGACAGAUUUAAAUAAAUAAUAUGAACUAUUA